CUUGCUUCUCUUCAGCCUCCCCAAUCGUCUCCUUCUCUAUUCUAGGUCUCAACUCUAAAGUUGCCCCCCUCUCUCUCUGCAACUCCCCAAUCGCCCCAAUCUCUCUCUCUGCAACUCCCCAAUUGCCUCCAUCUCUAUUCUCGGUCUCAACUCUGAACUUGCGCCCCCCUCUCUCUAUACAAUUCCCUAAUCUUGAUGACUCGUGCCCUUCCCCCUCAACCACCCAUCUCUCUUAGCAACUCUACCUCCAAUCUCUCUGUCACUUCUCUCACUUUCUCUCUCUACGUACCUGUACCAUACUAGUCUUGAUUGAACAGAAUGGUGAAGCUUGUAUCGGCCCGAGAGAGUCGGAUAUACGGACCCCAGCUGGCUUAAAACAGGUUCGAGUACAUGAACGCCGGCCUAUACGUGUUCGCCACCAUUGUUAUUCUCUGUGGCUUCGCGGCUCAGCUCUCCAGCGAGCCGAAAUCGAGUUUGGUUCUUCUACUUAUAGGCUUAGCUCUCAUAAUCUUUGUGAAUUUUCACAAUCUCUUUGCUCAUCUCACCAGCAUUGAUUACCAGUUUCCGUUGAUGGAAUUCGACGUCUAGCUCGGCCUCGUCGAGUUCGCCGUCCCCGUGGUUUAGAUUACAGCUACACUUCUCUAUUUCUUGGGGAUUCUUUUUAUUUUCAUUCAGGUGUCACUCUUAAAGAUCCUCACAUUGAAGAUCUUAGUCAAGAAGUUAGAGGGUUCAUAUUCUCUAAAAUUCUGUUUUCCUCCAAGAUUUGGGGUGAUAUUGUACUCAACAAAGUUUAUCAAGAAGAUUGAAUCAAAUAGUGGAGAACUCCCAUUAGAUCCUGUGGAAAAUGACAGUGGGACAGAGGAAGAUGUGUCCAGUUUGGGUAAUUCAAAUCAAAUGGGCAAGAAGAGUUGUUAAAGUUGAAGUUGAAGAUGAAGAUGGGGUUGUGGCUGUGCUUUCAGCAUUUCCUUCGCCUUGGAUGGGUUCUUUUUGAAAAAAUUGUACUACAUUUGUCAAAAAUUCUUAAUUCUUUUUUUGUCACAUUUACUAGAUCUAGACAAUUUGGAUGGUAUUUUCAUAUUGGCCGGUUAACUUGUGGUUGUAUUAGUAAACAUUUUUUGAGUUUUGGUUGACAUUUACUAGCUUUAUCUAUUAGUAGACAAUUUCGAUGGUA